rnacentral:rRNA from 1 species
GACGAACGCUGGCGGCGUGCUUAACACAUGCAAGUCGAACGGAAAGGCCCCUUUGGGGGUACUCGAGUGGCGAACGGGUGAGUAACACGUGAGUAACCUGCCCUUGACUUCGGGAUAACUUCAGGAAACUGGGGCUAAUACCGGAUAGGAAUCCUUGCUGCAUGGUGGGGGUUGGAAAGCUUCGGCGGUUUUGGAUGGACUCGCGGCUUAUCAGCUUGUUGGUGGGGUAGUGGCUUACCAAGGCUUUGACGGGUAGCCGGCCUGAGAGGGCGACCGGCCACAUUGGGACUGAUAUACGGCCCAGACUCCUACGGGAGGCAGCAGUGGGGAAUAUUGCACAAUGGGCGGAAGCCUGAUGCAGCAACGCCGCGGGCGGGAUGACGGCCUUCGGGUUGUAAACCGCUUUCAGCAGGGGCGAAGCUUGUGGUGACGGUACCUGCAGAAGAAGCACCGGCUAACUACGUG